ACAUGACAGGAACUUGGGUCUCUGGUCACAUGAACUUACAAAUAUUGUGUAACCGUCCGCGCCAGCUCAGGCAUUCCCCAUUAGAACCCUCUGCUGCGUGACCGGCCUCCCGAGAAUCUACAAAAUUGGCUCUAACUUGGACGCGCUGGCCAGUAAUUUCUGUGCGUUUUUUUCCCCAGGGCAUCUCGUAAAUUCCUGGAUACCGAGGACGGGCGAAGGAGGAGAACAAGAAGAAGAAGAAGAAGGGAAGUCAGUUGUGAGCCGUCGGACUUGAGGACUGCUGCUCUCCUCUGCGCGCGAAGAAGUACUCCCCGUCCGAGUACCACAGAAUGGCCAGUGCGACGUGCUGCCUCUGGACCCUGGUGUGGCUGCUGAUCCUGCUGUUCAUCGGCUGGCCCCUGAGCAUCUUCCUGGGGGGUCUGUACGGCCUGAUCAGCCCCCUGACCACCUGCGUCGGCCUGGACCGCCUCUCCGACCUGCUGCUGGAGGGCGCCAACGUGGGACGCACCUGUGCCCUGAACAUGCGGCACGCCAAGCCCCUGUGCUGAGACCCCGCCCCCUUAAACCCUGCCCCCUUCACCGCUACAAUGGGCAGGGAAUAAAGACAUGAGAUAAGUUUUGUGAUCACGUGGUGCUAGUGUUUUUAUGGAAGCGAAUCGACGAACGGCGAGCUCAAUCUUAACGUCAUUACUUCAUGUCCGGUUGUAUCUAUGUUUGGUUUUUGCUCACACAUUAAUCUCACAUUAAAAUUAAUAAAUACUUAGGAAAAAUGUGGUUGAGUGUGACAUGUUUUAUACUUAACAAACUUGUGCUUAGAAAGAUUUUGUCUCAAUGUUAAUGCAAAUUUUAAGUUAUAACAGAUAUUAAAACGACACCUACGUCUAAAAACAAUCAACUAAUUUGUACUUUUAGUCUUUACAGUUAAAACAACUCACUUUUUUCACUAAAACAUUGUUAAUAUUACAUUUACGGUUUCAUUAACAAAUCCUGCAAGGUUUUUUCUUUUUUUUUUAUUCAAUUGUGGUGAAGUUAUUAUUUUACUUCCUGGCUGCAGACACGACAUUUGCAGAGAUGGUUCCGUAACUGUUCCCUAGCAACCAUAAUGUAAACAAGGACCAAAACUUGUCCAAAUAACACAGUAUGAUAUGAUUUGACAAAUAAAGAUGGAUGGAAACACUU